GGCGUUUUCUGGAGAAGCGCCGCUAAAGAUCAUUAUCGUUAGCGGCGUUUGUUUUGUAAGUGCCGCUAAAGACCAUGACCUUUAGCGGUGUUUGUCAUAAAAGUGUCGUUAAAGAGCGUGAUCUUUAGCGGCGUUUGUGGGAAAAGC
rnacentral:pre_miRNA from 1 species